rnacentral:rRNA from 1 species
AACGUACGCUGGCGGCACGCCUAACACAUGCAAGUCGAACGAAGUAGCAAUACUUAGUGGCAGACGGGUGAGUAACAUGUAGGUAUCUACCCUUUGGCCUGGAAUAACACGAGGAAACUUGUGCUAAUACCGGAUAAGUCUUUACGGAGAAAGCUUUAUGCACCAUUGGAUGAGCCUGCACUUGAUUAGUUUGUUGGUAGGGUAAUGGCCUACCAAGACUGUGAUCAAUAGCUGAUUUGAGAGGAUGAUCAGCCACAUUGGGACUGAGACACGGCCCAAACUCCUACGGGAGGCAGCAGUGGGGAAUCUUGCACAAUGGAGGAAACUCUGAUGCAGCGAUGCCGCGUGAGUGAAGAAGGCCCUUGGGUUGUAAAGCUCUUUCGUCGGGGAAGAAAAUGACUGUACCCGAAUAAGAAGGUCCGGCUAACUUCGUGCCAGCAGCCGCGGUAAUACGAAGGGACCUAGCGUAGUUCGGAAUUACUGGGCUUAAAGAGUUCGUAGGUGGUUGAAAAAGUUAGUGGUGAAAUCCCAGAGCUUAACUCUGGAACUGCCAUUAAAACUUUUCAGCUAGAGUAUGAUAGAGGAAAGCAGAAUUUCUAGUGUAGAGGUGAAAUUCGUAGAUAUUAGAAAGAAUACCAAUUGCGAAGGCAGCUUUCUGGAUCAUUACUGACACUGAGGAACGAAAGCAUGGGUAGCGAAGAGGAUUAGAUACCCUCGUAGUCCAUGCCGUAAACGAUGUGUGUUAGACGUUGGAAAUUUAUUUUCAGUGUCGCAGGGAAACCGAUAAACACACCGCCUGGGGAGUACGACCGCAAGGUUAAAACUCAAAUGAAUUGACGGGGACCCGCACAAGUAGUGGAGCAUGUGGUUUAAUUCGAAGAUACGCGCAGAACCUUACCAACACUUGACAUGUUCGUCGCGACUCUGAGAGAUUAGAGUUUUCGGUUCGGCCGGACGAAACACAGGUGCUGCAUGGCUGUCGUCAGCUCGUGUCGUGAGAUGUUGGGUUAAGUCCCGCAACGAGCGCAACCCUCACUUUUAGUUGCCAUCAUUAAGUUGGGCACUCUGAAAGAACUGCCAGUGAUAAGCUGGAGGAAGGUGGGGAUGACGUCAAGUCCUCAUGGCCCUUACGUGUUGGGCUACACACGUGCUACAAUGGUAUCUACAACAGGAAGCAAGACUGCGAAGUUAAGCAAAUCCCUAAAAGAUACCUCAGUUCGGAUUGCACUCUGCAACUCGAGUGCAUGAAGCUGGAAUUACUAGUAAUCGUGGAUCAGCGUGCCACGGUGAAUGCGUUCCCGGGUCU